AGAGUUUGAUCCUGGCUCAGGAUGAACGCUAGCUACAGGCUUAACACAUGCAAGUCGAGGGGAAACGACAUCGAAAGCUUGCUUUUGAUGGGCGUCGACCGGCGCACGGGUGAGUAACGCGUAUCCAACCUGCCCACCACUUGGGGAUAACCUUGCGAAAGUAAGACUAAUACCCAAUGACGUCUCUAGAAGACAUCUGAAGGAGAUUAAAGGUUUAUCGGUGAUGGAUGGGGAUGCGUCUGAUUAGCUUGUUGGCGGGGUAACGGCCCACCAAGGCGACGAUCAGUAGGGGUUCUGAGAGGAAGGCCCCCCACAUUGGGAACUGAGACACGGUCCAAACUCCUACGGGAGGCA
rnacentral:rRNA from 1 species